rnacentral:rRNA from 1 species
GACGAACGCUGGCGGCGUGCUUAACACAUGCAAGUCGAACGGAAAGGCCCUGCUUUUGUGGGGUGCUCGAGUGGCGAACGGGUGAGUAACACGUGAGUAACCUGCCCUUGACUUUGGGAUAACUUCAGGAAACUGGGGCUAAUACCGGAUAGGAGCUCCUGCUGCAUGGUGGGGGUUGGAAAGUUUCGGCGGUUGGGGAUGGACUGGCGGCUUAUCAGCUUGUUGGUGGGGUAGUGGCUUACCAAGGCUUUGACGGGUAGCCGGCCUGAGAGGGUGACCGGCCACAUUGGGACUGAGAGACGGACCAGACUCCUACGGGAGGCAGCAGUGGGGAAUAUUGCACAAUGGGCGGAAGCCUGAUGCAGCAACGCCGCGUGCGGGAUGACGGCCUUCGGGUUGUAAACCGCUUUCGCCUGUGACGAAGCGUGAGUGACGGUAAUGGGUAAAGAAGCACCGGCUAACUACGUG